AGCAGCCGCGGUAAUUCCAGCUCCAAUAGCGUAUAUUAAAGUUGUUGCAGUUAAAAAGCUCGUAGUUGAAUUUCGGGAUCAAUUAAUUGGUCGUGCCUAUGGUACGUACUGAUUUUAUUGGUUUCUCCCUUCUGACGAACCAUGAUGUCAUUAAUUUGGUGUCGUGGAGAAUCAGGACUGUUACUUUGAAAAAUUAGAGUGUUUAAAGCAAGCUAACGCUUGAAUACAUUAGCAUGGAAUAAUGAAAUAGGACGUUUGAUCCUAUUUUGUUGGUUUCUAGGAUCGACGUAAUGAUUAAUAGGGAUAGUUGGGGGCAUUAGUAUUCAAUUGUCAGAGGUGAAAUUCUUGGAUUUAUUGAAGACUAACUACUGCGAAAGCAUUUGCCAAGGAUGUUUUCAUUAAUCAAGAACGAAAGUUAGGGGAUCGAAGACGAUCAGAUACCGUCGUAGUCUUAACCAUAAACUAAUGCCGACUAGGGAUCGGAUGAU
rnacentral:rRNA from 1 species